rnacentral:rRNA from 1 species
AAUAUUGGUCAAUGGAGGCAACUCUGAACCAGCCAUGCCGCGUGCAGGAAGAAUGCCCUCUGGGUUGUAAACUGCUUUUACCAGGGAAUAAACCCUUCUACGUGUAGAAGGCUGAAUGCACCUGAGGAAUAAGGAUCGGCUAACUCCGUGCCAGCAGCCGCGGUAAUACGGAGGAUCCAAGCGUUAUCCGGAUUUAUUGGGUUUAAAGGGUGCGUAGGCGGCUUGUUAAGUCAGGGGUGAAAGACGAUGGCUCAACCAUCGCAGUGCCUUUGAUACUGACGAGCUUGAAUGUACUUGAGGUAGGCGGAAUGUGACAAGUAGCGGUGAAAUGCAUAGAUAUGUCACAGAACACCGAUUGCGAAGGCAGCUUACUAAAGUAUGAUUGACGCUGAGGCACGAAAGCGUGGGGAUCAAACAGG